rnacentral:rRNA from 1 species
UACGUAGGGUGCAAGCGUUGUCCGGAAUUAUUGGGCGUAAAGAGCUCGUAGGCGGUCUGUUACGUCGGCUGUGAAAACCUGGGGCUCAACUCCGGGCCUGCAGCCGAUACGGGCAGACUAGAGUUCGGCAGGGGAGACUGGAAUUCCUGGUGUAGCGGUGAAAUGCGCAGAUAUCAGGAGGAACACCGGUGGCGAAGGCGGAUCUCUGGGCCAUUACUGACGCUGAGGAGCGAAAGCGGUGGGGAGCGAACAGGG